UGGGGAAUAUUGCGCAAUGGGGGCAACCCUGACGCAGCCAUGCCGCGUGAAUGAAGAAGGCCUUCGGGUUGUAAAGUUCUUUCGGUAGCGAGGAAGGCAUUUAGUUUAAUAGACUAGGUGAUUGACGUUAACUACAGAAGAAGCACCGGCUAACUCCGUGCCAGCAGCCGCGGUAAUACGGAGGGUGCGAGCGUUAAUCGGAAUAACUGGGCGUAAAGGGCACGCAGGCGGUGACUUAAGUGAGGUGUGAAAGCCCCGGGCUUAACCUGGGAAUUGCAUUUCAUACUGGGUCGCUAGAGUACUUUAGGGAGGGGUAGAAUUCCACGUGUAGCGGUGAAAUGCGUAGAGAUGUGGAGGAAUACCGAAGGCGAAGGCAGCCCCUUGGGAAUGUACUGACGCUCAUGUGCGAAAGCGUGGGGAGCAAACAGG
rnacentral:rRNA from 6 species